UUCUUGUUUGCUAUUGGGGGUUAUAAUACAUAUCACAGUGUGUAUAUACAUACAUGUCUUGCAUUCAUUGGUUUGAUGUACACACCGGAUGUGACACGGGAUGUGGGUAAGUUUUAUUUAGGUUAUACUUUGCUGUUUUCAGUCACAAGUUGAAGACAACUGAAGAUGGAAACCACCAAAGGAUGUGGUGCAGUGGAUGAGGCUGCUCCGCCUUUAACCAGAGGUCUCGGUUUCGAGCCAUGGGAAUGGAUAAAUCCUUGGUAAGGAGCGCUUCCCCCAAAUGGGCCCUACGCGACGCGAAUCCGGAUUAGUCGGAUUCCAAUGCGGGUACCGAACACCGGAUGAGAAAGCAAAAAAAAAAGAUGGAGAUUCACUAACAAGAGUAAUGUGUUAAGCGAUUUGUUCUAUUUCUCCUAUUUAACUACUUACAGGUUUUGAUCUAGUUGAAUGACUGUUUGGUUUAUAAAGUGAUUUCUUUUCCAUGUCAAGAUACUUUAGUUGUUCUUCCCUUAAAGAAAUUGGUAUUGUUUUUGCUGUUAGUACUGUAGCUUAUGGGCAUGUACCACUGCCCCAAGAAAAUUUCGACUAGAAAGGAUAAGAUAGAAGAGGGAGUAAGAGAAAAUAUCUGAAGCUGUCAUUUUUCUCUUACCGGAACUACCCUCUGCAGCUCCAUCUUCAGCAGCUGCUCAAUCUUUCAUUUCGAAAAUAAAACUUGGAUGUCA
rnacentral:lncRNA from 1 species